UCCCAAAGAGUAACGGAGGAGCACGAAGGUUAGCUAAUCCUGGUCGGACAUCAGGAGGUUAGUGCAAUGGCAUAAGCUAGCUUGACUGCGAGCGUGACGGCGCGAGCAGGUGCGAAAGCAGGUCAUAGUGAUCCGGUGGUUCUGAAUGGAAGGGCCAUCGCUCAACGGAUAAAAGGUACUCCGGGGAUAACAGGCUGAUACCGCCCAAGAGUUCAUAUCGACGGCGGUGUUUGGCACCUCGAUGUCGGCUCAUCACAUCCUGGGGCUGAAGUAGGUCCCAAGGGUAUGGCUGUUCGCCAUUUAAAGUGGUACGCGAGCUGGGUUUAGAACGUCGUGAGACAGUUCGGUCCCUAUCUGCCGUGGGCGCUGGAGAAUUGAGGGGGGCUGCUCCUAGUACGAGAGGACCGGAGUGGACGCAUCACUGGUGUUCGGGUUGUCAUGCCAAUGGCAUUGCCCGGUAGCUAAAUGCGGAAGAGAUAAGUGCUGAAAGCAUCUAAGCACGAAACUUGCCCCGAGAUGAGUUCUCCCUGAGACUUUAAGUCUCCUGAAGGAACGUUAAAGACGAUGACGUUGAUAGGUCGGGUGUGUAAGCGUAGCGAUACGUUGAGCUAACCGAUACUAAUGAACCGUGAGGCUUAACCUU
rnacentral:rRNA from 1 species